rnacentral:lncRNA from 1 species
AUUCUCCUGGAAAUAGUAUUGUACAUCAUAUAUCAUUAUAUAAACCGUAGUCCAAAUAAUUAUGAUAUCUUGGAAGGCUAUUUUAAAUUUUGCUUUCACGCCUUUGGUCAAUGAAAGGCGCCAAAGAAAAAAAUACAAUAGCCUUUCAAGAGGUCAAUUAUUAGGACUAAUAUACACGGGCAAACCUACAAAAAUGUAGUUUUUAAUCAGGAAUAUGUUAGGGCUAAGCUUUUAGAUACCCUUCUCUUGGUUACGGCUACAUAUAUAUACACAUUGACCUAUAUAGUCUGGCGGCUACAAAAGAGGGACGAAAGAUACCAAAGGGACAGUCAAACUCAUAAUCUAAAACAAACUGACAACGCCAUGGCUAAAAAUGAAAAAAAGACAAACAAACAACAGCACACACGACACAACAUAGAAAACUAAAGAAUAAACAACACGAACCCCACCAAAAAACUAGGGGUGAUCUCAGGUGCUCCGGAAGGGUAAGCAGAUCCUGCUCCACAUGCGGCACCCGUCGUGUUACUUAUGUGAUAACAAAUCCGG